ACGAAAUGCCCCAAAAAUUGUUAUAGCAUUCCGAGGGACAAUACUCAAAUCAAGAAUCAUGUUUCAGGAUCUCAAGAUGAACCUCAAGACCUUUUGUUAUGAACUUCAUACUACGCCAAGGUUUCAGCUGGCAGUAGAUGCUGUCGUUUCUGCGGUUGGUGAAGUUGGAGUUGGAAAUGUGUGGUUAGCAGGCCAUUCUCUAGGUUCAGCUCUUGCAUUGCUUGUAGGGAAAAGCAUGGCCAAAAGAGAUCGCCAUAUCAAAACUUUCCUCUUCAAUCCACCAUUCUUAUCUCUCUCUGAAGGAAGAUUUACGAAUGAUGUACUCAAGAAUACAUUCCAUGUAGUACACAGCGUGGCUGCCGCAGGACUUUCUGUCCUUGUAAAGGGUCACAAAGAUCGACAAGAUCAAUUUGCUAGGUUAUCUAAUUGGAAACCCCUUUUGUUUGUGAACAAAAAGGAUCAUAUUUGUUCAGGAUACAUUGAAUAUUUCAGAUCUCGAAUCAUGAUGGAGAAGAUAGGAUUACAAAAAAUUGAGAGGACUGCAACAAUGAAUUCCCUAAAAGGUUUGAUCAAAGUUGCAUCACGGAAAGAAUCGGAACCACUGCAUCUAAUUCCUUCAGCGAAGCUAUUUGUUAACAGGUUUUCUAAUGGAGGAGCUUCGAGUUCUAGAAAACCUUGUCCAGUUCAGCAGUGGUAUUCUGAUUUCAGAGAAGCUCAUGGAAUUCAACAAUGGUGGAGUCCUGAUGUUUCAGGAGAAUUUGAGGAAUUCUCGUUCAAUUAAUUGAUGCAUGCAUCUUGUUCAAAGUUCUUUGUGUAUGAAUAAAGAAUUGCUUUGUGGAAAAGUGUGAAGAAAUGUGAAUGGAGACUCUAG
rnacentral:misc_RNA from 1 species